AUCUUUAAGAAUGUUUUUCCUACUUCACAAUCACUUUGUAACAAUGUCAAGAUGAUUUCUAAAGAAUGGCCCAUUAUGUAGCAUUUAAGGAGAGUAGGGAGAGAAAGGAAAGGAAGGAGAAAGCAUUUAAGUUUACUUUUAAGUUUACUUUACAUUUAGUUUACAUUAAGUUUACUUUACAUUUAAGCCUACUAUUUGCUAGCACUAUACUAAGCACUUUUCAAAUAUUACCUUUCUUGAUACUCACAACAACCCUGGGAGGUAGAUACUUUUACUAUUCUCAUUUCACAGUGAAGGAAAAUGAGGCUGAAGGUGGGGAGGGGUGGUGGUAAGUGAUUUGCCCAGGAUCACCUUGCCAGUAAGUGUCUGAGGCUGGAUUUGAACUCCAUUCUUCCUGUCUCCAAGCCUAGGACUCUAUUCAUUAUGCCACCAGCUUCCUUAUUUAUGGAGGAAUUACCCAGAAAAGCCUCCCAUACUCCCUGAGAUAACCAUCAAUUACAGAAGUUAAGCAAAACUGGUUCUAAAGAUGAUGAAUAAUGAAAGUAACUUGAUAGAAGAAAACACCAUCUUUUAAUACCAUAAACUGAGGCCAACAUGUUUCUUUUAGUACUCUUUUCUUCUAUUGGCAUUUUAUAAAACAUAAGUUUUUGUAUUAAGUAAUCAGAUCACAAGUUCAUGCAAAAAUUUGUUGGUUUUUCAUUAUUCUCACAAAUUUGCCUUAAAGGAAGGUAAAACAUGCCACCAGGAGUGUUCAGUGUCCUUUCAGGAGUCUGUUAAGCUUUAUAAAUGAUCACAUUUCGGGAAAGGUAAAUGGUGAUAUAUGCAGUAUUUGUUUAUACUGUCUUAUUCUAGAGUGUGAUUUUUUUUUUAAAGGGAAUGUAAAGCCAAUUAGAAUAAAGCUGCUUAUCAAAUAUACCCUUUUCAAGUUCUCAUCUCAGUGGAGUAAAUAGUAAGAGUGGCGUUUUGGGCAGCAUGAUCUAUAUUAAUAGGUUUGUCAUCUUGUUUAAGGUCUUCAUCUGUUCAUUCCCUUGAAUUACUGAUGUUUAAAUUGCUUCAAAGAAAGCUAGUGGUUGAAUACCACUACUAUGAUCCUUUUGUAUAGUUCACAUCUGUGUGUAGUUACUUUCCAUGUUUUGUUUUUUGCAGAGAACUGCUGUCUUCGCACAGAUAAGUCUAAAUUAUAUUUUUCUCAAUAUUGAUGUAUUGAGAGGUUUAAACAUGAGAGAUUUUGAUAAUACAUAGGGUAAAAAAAAAAAUAAAACAAUUCUGCCAAAUACAUUGGAAAGAAUUUUGUAUAGAUGUGCUCUAUUGUAUUUAAAAAAAAAAUCCUUACUGAAUACACAGUAAUGGAACAAAAGAUGCCUUAAUGUCCUUUACUUUUUUAUUGUUGAAGACAUUGAUUUUAAUAAAUUCCUAUUUAUCUGCCA